CAACAACUCCCUCUGUCCCAAAUUUAUUGUCUUAGAUUUGUCUAGAUAUGGAUGUAUCUAAUACUAAAAUGUGACUUGAUACAUCCGUAUCUAGACAAAAUAUAAGACAAGAAUUUUGGGACGGAGGGAUUACUUU
rfam:Triticum urartu cultivar G1812 contig44809, whole genome shotgun sequence.